rnacentral:rRNA from 1 species
CUACGGGCUGCUGCAGUGAGGAAUAUUGGACAAUGGUCGAAAGACUGAUCCAGCCAUGCCGCGCGCAGGAUGACUGCCCUAUGGGUUGUAAACUGCUUUUAUACGGGAAGAAAAACACCUACGUGUAGGUGACUGACGGUACCGUAAGAAUAAGGACCGGCUAACUCCGUGCCAGCAGCCGCGGUAAUACGGAGGGUCCAAGCGUUAUCCGGAAUCAUUGGGUUUAAAGGGUCCGUAGGCGGGCUAUUAAGUCAGAGGUGAAAGUUUGCAGCUCAACUGUAAAAUUGCCUUUGAUGCUGAUAGUCUUGAAUUGUAGUGAAGUGGUUAGAAUAUGUGGUGUAGCGGUGAAAUGCAUAGAUAUCACAUAGAAUACCGAUUGCGAAGGCAGAUCACUAACUAUAUAUUGACGCUGAGGGACGAAAGCGUGGGGAGCGAACGGGAUUAGAUACCCCCGUAGUC